rnacentral:rRNA from 1 species
GACGAACGCUGGCGGCGUGCCUAACACAUGCAAGUCGAACGGAACUUCUUUAAAGGAUUUCUUCGGAAUGAAUUUGAUUAAGUUUAGUGGCGGACGGGUGAGUAACGCGUGAGUAACCUGCCUCUGAGAGGGGAAUAACAUUCUGAAAAGAAUGCUAAUACCGCAUAACAUAUAUUUAUCGCAUGGUAGAUAUAUCAAAGAUUUAUCGCUUAGAGAUGGACUCGCGUCCGAUUAGUUAGUUGGUGAGGUAACGGCUCACCAAGACUGCGAUCGGUAGCCGGACUGAGAGGUUGAACGGCCACAUUGGGACUGAGACACGGCCCAGACUCCUACGGGAGGCAGCAGUGGGGGAUAUUGCGCAAUGGGGGAACCCUGACGCAGCAACGCCGCGUGAGUGAAGAAGUAUUUCGGUAUGUAAAGCUCUAUCAGCAGGAAGAAAUGACGGUACCUGACUAAGAAGCCCGGCUAACUACGUGCCAG